CCGAAUACCCUAGCGGCGGCGGCGGCGGCGAUGGAUGAGCUGGGUGGAGGCGGCGGGAAGAAGGGCAAGGCAUGGCCCUGGUGGCUUGGAGCGAGUGCGGCCCAGAUCACCGGCGCGCUGGUUUGGUUCCGGCGAGGCAAGGGCGGCAGCGACAUGACGAUGCCAUUCAGGGCGUUCGCCGUCGCCUCUCUCUUCGUCGGCGCCGGCGCCACGACCGUCACCGCCGGAGUGUCCGCGGCGGGCGUCGGAUCGGUGGAGGAGAUGAAGGGCUUGGGCGCGAGGAUCCGGAAGUGGAGCAGAGUUCCUCCUCGCCGGGUGGAGGGAGGCGAGUAG
rnacentral:rRNA from 1 species